rnacentral:rRNA from 2 species
GGCGGACGGGUGAGUAAUGUCUGGGAAACUGCCUGAUGGAGGGGGAUAACUACUGGAAACGGUAGCUAAUACCGCAUAACGUCGCAAGACCAAAGAGGGGGACCUUCGGGCCUCUUGCCAUCAGAUGUGCCCAGAUGGGAUUAGCUAGUAGGUGGGGUAACGGCUCACCUAGGCGACGAUCCCUAGCUGGUCUGAGAGGAUGACCAGCCACACUGGAACUGAGACACGGUCCAGACUCCUACGGGAGGCAGCAGUGGGGAAUAUUGCACAAUGGGCGCAAGCCUGAUGCAGCCAUGCCGCGUGUAUGAAGAAGGCCUUCGGGUUGUAAAGUACUUUCAGCGGGGAGGAAGGUGUUGUGGUUAAUAACCACAGCAAUUGACGACCCGCAGAAGAAGCACCGGCUAACUCCGUGCCAGCAGCCGCGGUAAUCGGAGGGUGCAAGCGUUAAUCGGAAUUACUGGGCGUAAAGCGCACGCAGGCGGUCUGUCAAGUCGGAUGUGAAAUCCCCGGGCUCAACCUGGGAACUGCAUUCGAAACUGGCAGGCUAGAGUCUUGUAGAGGGGGGUAGAAUUCCAGGUGUAGCGGUGAAAUGCGUAGAGAUCUGGAGGAAUACCGGUGGCGAAGGCGGCCCCCUGGACAAAGACUGACGCUCAGGUGCGAAAGCGUGGGGAGCAAACAGGAUUAGAUACCCUGGUAGUCCACGCCGUAAACGAUGUCGACUUGGAGGUUGUGCCCUUGAGGCGUGGCUUCCGGAGCUAACGCGUUAAGUCGACCGCCUGGGGAGUACGGCCGCAAGGUUAAAACUCAAAUGAAUUGACGGGGGCCCGCACAAGCGGUGGAGCAUGUGGUUUAAUUCGAUGCAACGCGAAGAACCUUACCUACUCUUGACAUCCAGAGAACUUAGCAGAGAUGGUUUGGUGCCUUCGGGAACUCUGAGACAGGUGCUGCAUGGCUGUCGUCAGCUCGUGUUGUGAAAUGUUGGGUUAAGUCCCGCAACGAGCGCAACCCUUAUCCUUUGUUGCCAGCGGUCCGGCCGGGAACUCAAAGGAGACUGCCAGUGAUAAACUGGAGGAAGGUGGGGAUGACGUCAAGUCAUCAUGGCCCUUACGAGUAGGGCUACACACGUGCUACAAUGGCGCAUACAAAGAGAAGCGAACUCGCGAGAGCAAGCGGACCUCAUAAAGUGCGUCGUAGUCCGGAUUGGAGUCUGCAACUCGACUCCAUGAAGUCGGAAUCGCUAGUAAUCGUAGAUCAGAAUGCUACGGUGAAUACGUUCCCGGGCCUUGUACACACCGCCCGUCACACCAUGGGAGUGGGUUGCAAAAGAAGU